GAGGACACGAGCCAUUACCCGCCGUCGCGUUCAGAGGCACGGCCGACCCAUCCGCGUUUGAUAUAAAAAAAGAAAACAGGCGUCACUUGUUCAGAUCAUUUUAAGCCAUGCAAAAUAGUCUACAUUUUGCAUAUCUUUGAUCAUGUUAGUCAUUUGAUAUCGAUCUAUCUAUCUAUCUAUCUAUCUAUCUAUCUAUCUAUCUAUCUAUCUAUCUAUCUAUCUAUCUAUCUAUCUAUCUAUCUAUCUAUCUAUCUAUCUAUCUAUCUAUCAUAUAGUCAAUAGUUUUUAUGUCUCUCUCUCUCUAUCGUUUAGUCCAUAGUUUUUAUCUAUCUAUCUAUCUAUCUAUCUAUCUAUCUAUCUAUCUAUCUAUCUAUCUAUCUAUCUAUCUAUCUAUCUAUCUAUCUAUCUAUCUAUCUAUCUAUCUAUCUAUCUAUCUAUCAUCUAGUCGAUGGUUUUUGUCUCUCUCUCUCUCUAUCGUUUAGUCCAUAGUUUUUAUCUAUCUAUCUAUCUAUCUAUCUAUCUAUCUAUCUAUCUAUCUAUCUAUCUAUCUAUCUAUCUAUCUAUCUAUCUAUCUAUCUAUCUAUCUAUCUAUCUAUCUAUCUAUCUAUCUAUCUAUCUAUCUAUCUAUCUAUCUUAGCUAGGUAGCUAGCUGCCUGCCUGCCUGCCUGCCUGCCUAGCUCGCUAGCUAGCUAGUUAGGUAGCUGCACUGAUCAAAAAAAAAAGACUGGAUGGCUCAUUGGCCACCAAACCAAAGUCGCCAUCUUGAUACUUCCAAAACAAGCGUGCUGACCUGUGCAGCGACAGCGAUUAACUGUGUUAAUCCCCAGUUUCGUGGCUGUGAGAAAACAUUCCACAGGGAUACAAUCCUGAUGCCGCGGACUUCGCGGGAACAGCAUCGAAGGGUAUCGGUGCUAGCGAAGAGGAAAAGCGGAAUGCUAACCCGUGACCAUAGAACUGCAAAGGAUCUGGACUCUCGGAGCGAUACGGAUGCCGAACCUGGUCUUCAUUCCAGAACAGCGGGAGGUCGAAGUCUCAAAGCUCAUUAACGCGCGAUAUUACCUUCCACGCCCAAACCGCAUUGCGUCGCCCUCGAGAUGACAAAGAGGCAGAAGAUCCUCUUGAGGUACU